rnacentral:tRNA from 1 species
GGGGGCGUGGUGUAGCUUGGUUUAACAUACCUGCCUGUCAAGCAGGAGAUCGCGGGUUCAAAUCCCGUCGCUCCCG